AGAGUUUGAUCAUGGCUCAGGACGAACGCUGGCGGCGUGCUUAACACAUGCAAGUCGAGCGAUGAAGUUCUUUCGGGAACGGAUUAGCGGCGAACGGGUGAGGAACACGUGAGGAAUCUGCCUUCUACUCUGGGAUAACUCCGGGAAACCGGGGCUAAUACUGGAUAUGAAGCCUGAUGGCAUCAUCGGGUUUGGAAAGUUUUUCGGUAGAAGAUGACCUCGCGGCCUAUCAGCUUGUUGGUGAGGUAAUGGCUCACCAAGGCGACGACGGGUAGCCGGCCUGAGAGGGCGACCGGCCACACUGGGACUGAGACACGGCCCAGACUCCUACGGGAGGCAGCAGUGGGGAAUAUUGGGCAAUGGAGGAAACUCUGACCCAGCGACGCCGCGUGCGGGAUGAAGGCCUUCGGGUUGUAAACCGCUUUCAGCAGGGAAGAAGCGAAAGUGACGGUACCUGCAGAAGAAGCACCGGCUAACUAUGUGCCAGCAGCCGCGGUAAUACAUAGGGUGCAAGCGUUGUCCGGAAUUAUUGGGCGUAAAGAGCUCGUAGGUGGUUCGUUACGUCGGAUGUGAAAAUCUGGGGCUCAACCCCAGACCUGCAUUCGAUACGGGCGAACUAGAGUGUGGUAGGGGAGACUGGAAUUCCUGGUGUAGCGGUGGAAUGCGCAGAUAUCAGGAGGAACACCAAUGGCGAAGGCAGGUCUCUGGGCCAUUACUGACACUGAGGAGCGAAAGCGUGGGGAGCGAACAGGAUUAGAUACCCUGGUAGUCCACGCCGUAAACGGUGGGCACUAGUUGUGGGAACCUUCCACGGUUUCUGCGACGCAGCUAACGCAUUAAGUGCCCCGCCUGGGGAGUACGAUCGCAAGAUUAAAACUCAAAGGAAUUGACGGGGCCCCGCACAAGCAGCGAGCAUGCGGCUUAAUUCGACGCAACGCGAAGACCUUACCAAGGCUUGACAUAUACCGAAUAUGGCAGAAAUGUCAUAGCUGUAAAGGUCGGUAUACAGGUGUGCAUGCUGUCGUCAGCUCCGUGUCGUGAGAUGUGGGUUAGUCCCGCACGAGCGCC
rnacentral:rRNA from 1 species